GAUCCUGGCUCAAAUUGAACGCUGGCGGCAUGCCUCACUCUUGCAAGUCGAACGGCAGCGCGGGUGCUUGCACCUGGCGGCGAGUGGCGAACGGGUGAGUAAUACAUCGGAACGUGCCCUAAAGUGGGGGAUAACUAGUCAAAAGAUUAGCUAAUACCGCAUACAAUCUACGGAUGAAAGUGGGGGACCGCGAGGCCUCAUGCUCCUGGAGCGGCCGAUGUCUGAUUAGCUAGUUGGUGGGGUAACGGCCUACCAAGGCGACAAUCAGUAGCUGGUCUGAAAGGACAACCAGCCACACUGGGACUGAAACACGGCCCAAACUCCUACGGGAGGCAGCAGUGGGGAAUUUUGGACAAUGGGGGCAACCCUGAUCCAGCAAUGCCGCGUGUGUGAAGAAGGCCUUCGGGUUGUAAAGCACUUUUGUCAGGAACGAAACGGUGGGGGCUAAUACCUCCUGCUAAUGACGGUACCUGAAAAAUAAGCACCGGCUAACUACGUG
rnacentral:rRNA from 1 species